AAAAAAAGCAAACUCUGGAUUUUUUUUCCAACUUUGACUGUCCGUCUUAUAUGAAAUUUUUUUAUAAUUUGAAUUUUCAUUGUUGUUAGAUGAUAAAAAUGAUUAAUAUUUUAUGCAUGACUUGUCUUUUUAAUUUUUUUAUAAUUUUUUCUAAUAAGACGGACGGUCAAACGUUGGACACGGAAACCAGGGUUUGUCUUUUU
rfam:Oryza rufipogon genomic scaffold, chr07